rnacentral:tRNA from 1 species
GCCUGGGUGGCUCAGUCAGUUGAGCGCCCGACUUCAGCUCAGGUCAUGAUCUCGCGGUUUGUGAGUUCAAGCCCCGCGUCAGGCU